AUUGAACGCUGGCGGCAGGCUUAACACAUGCAAGUCGAGCGGAGAGAGGUAGCUUGCUACUGAUCUUAGCGGCGGACGGGUGAGUAAUGCUUAGGAAUCUGCCUGUUAGUGGGGGACAACAUUUCGAAAGGAAUGCUAAUACCGCAUACGUCCUACGGGAGAAAGCAGGGGAUCUUCGGACCUUGCGCUAAUAGAUGAGCCUAAGUCGGAUUAGCUAGUUGGUGGGGUAAAGGCCUACCAAGGCGACGAUCUGUAGCGGGUCUGAGAGGAUGAUCCGCCACACUGGGACUGAGACACGGCCCAGACUCCUACGGGAGGCAGCAGUGGGGAAUAUUGGACAAUGGGCGCAAGCCUGAUCCAGCCAUGCCGCGUGUGUGAAGAAGGCCUUAUGGUUGUAAAGCACUUUAAGCGAGGAGGAGGCUACUUUAGUUAAUACCUAGAGAUAGUGGACGUUACUCGCAGAAUAAGCACCGGCUAACUCUGUGCCAGCCGCCGCGGUAACAC
rnacentral:rRNA from 1 species